rnacentral:rRNA from 1 species
UACGGAGGGUGCAAGCGUUAUCCGGAUUCACUGGGUUUAAAGGGUGCGUAGGCGGACAGGUAAGUCAGUGGUGAAAUCUCUGGGCUUAACUCAGAAACUGCCGUUGAUACUAUUUGUCUUGAAUAUCUUGGAGGUAAGCGGAAUAUGUCAUGUAGCGGUGAAAUGCUUAGAUAUGACAUAGAACACCCAUUGCGAAGGCAGCUCACUACGCAUAUAUUGACGCUGAUGCACGAAAGCGUGGGGAUCAAACAGG